UGGGGAAUCUUGCACAAUGGGGGAAACCCUGAUGCAGCGACGCCGCGUGAGCGAUGAAGCCCUUCGGGGUGUAAAGCUCUUUCGGCAGGGAAGAUUAUGACGGUACCUGCAGAAGCAGCUGCGGCUAACUACGUGCCAGCAGCCGCGGUAAUACGUAGGCAGCGAGCGUUGUUCGGAGUUACUGGGCGUAAAGGGUGUGUAGGCGGUUGUUUAAGUUUGGUGUGAAAUCUCCCGGCUCAACUGGGAGGGUGCGCCGAAUACUGAAUGACUAGAGUGCGGGAGAGGAAAGUGGAAUUCCUGGUGUAGCGGUGAAAUGCGUAGAUAUCAGGAGGAACACCGGUGGUGUAGACGGCUUUCUGGACCGUAACUGACGCUGAGACACGAAAGCGUGGGUAGCAAACA
rnacentral:rRNA from 1 species